rnacentral:rRNA from 1 species
AUUGAACGCUGGCGGCAGGCCUAACACAUGCAAGUCGAGCGAGCGGCGGACGGGUGAGUAAUGUAUGGGGACUGCCCGAUAGAGGGGGAUAACUACUGGAAACGGUAGCUAAUACCGCCUACUACCGGAUAAUCUAUAUGGGAUUAGCUAGUAGGUGGGGUAAUGGGUCACCUAGGCGACGAUCCCUAGCUGGUCUGAGAGGAUGAUCAGCCACACUGGGACGGAGAGACGGCCCAGACUCCUACGGAGGCAGCAGUGGGGGAGAGUGGACAAUGGGCGAAAGCCUGAUGCAGCGACGCCGCGUGGGGGGUGAAGGCUUUCGGGUUGUAAACCUCUUUCGCUAUCUAACGGGUAGGUGGAGAAGAAGCGCCGGCUAACUACGUGCCAGCAGCCGCGGUAAUAC